GAUGAACGCUGGCGGCGUGCUUAACACAUGCAAGUCGAACGAAGAUACUUAAAAUGAGAGCUUCGGCAGGAUUUUUAUUUAUCUUAGUGGCGGACGGGUGAGUAACGUGUGGGCAACCUGCCCUAUACUGGGGAAUAAUCACUGGAAACGGUGACUAAUACCGCAUGUCAUCACGAGAAGGCAUCUUUUUGUGAGAAAAGGAGUAAUUCGGUAUAGGAUGGGCCCGCAUCUGAUUAGCUAGUUGGUGAGAUAACAGCCCACCAAGGCGACGAUCAGUAGCCGACCUGAGAGGAUGAACGGCCACACUGGAACUGAGACACGGUCCAGACUCCUACGGGAGGCAGCAGUGGGGAAUCUUCCGCAAUGGACGAAAGUCUGACGGAGCAACGCCGCGUGAGUGAUGACGG
rnacentral:rRNA from 1 species